rnacentral:rRNA from 1 species
GUGGGGAAUUUUGGACAAUGGGCGAAAGCCUGAUCCAGCAAUGCCGCGUGGGUGAAGAAGGCCUUCGGGUUGUAAAGCCCUUUUGUACGGAAAGAAAUCCUGGUGGUUAAUACCCGCCGGGGAUGACGGUACCGUAAGAAUAAGCACCGGCUAACUUCGUGCCAGCAGCCGCGGUAAUACGAAGGGUGCAAGCGUUAAUCGGAAUUACUGGGCGUAAAGCGUGCGUAGGUGGUUUCUUAAGUCUGUCGUGAAAGCCCUGGGCUCAACCUGGGAAUGGCGAUGGAUACUGGGAGGCUAGAGUGCGGUAGAGGAUGGCGGAAUUCCCGGUGUAGCGGUGAAAUGCGUAGAGAUCGGGAGGAACAUCUGUGGCGAAGGCGGCCAUCUGGACCAGCACUGACACUGAGGCACGAAAGCGUGGGGAGCAAACAGGAUUAGAUACCCUUGUAGUCC